AUUCCAAGAACAGUAACAUCUACAAGGUUUCUUUGCCCUUGUCUAAAUACAACAGGCCUAAGCUUGUUGCUGGUUCAGCUAAAGGUUGGAGCGGUCAUGUUGAUGGCAAACCACGUGAAGCAAGGAUGAACCAUCCAACAGGGCUCACAGUCGAUAGCAAGGGUAGCGUGUAUUCUAAUGUUCAAGCUUCAGCAAGAUGAUUUCCCAGUGGAUACUCAUGUUUUUAGGAUAAUGAGGGACAUUGGUUGGAUCCCCAUUAAAGCAAACAGAGAGCAAGCAUAUAUCCACCUCAAUAAUAGAAUACCUAAUCAUUUGAA